GACGAACGCUGGCGGCGUGCUUAAUACAUGCAAGUCGAACGCAGUGGCGGACGGGUGAGUAACGCGUAAUCAACCUGCCCUUCAGAGGGGGACAACAGUUGGAAACGACUACUAAUACCGCAUUCUGAAGGUGGGGAUUGCGUCUGUUUAGCUAGUUGGAGGGGUAACGGCCCACCAAGGCAAUGAUCAGUAGCCGGUCGGGGAGGAGGAACGGCCACAUUGGGACUGAGAAACGGCCCAGACUCCUAAGGGAGGCAGCAGUGGGGAAUCUUCCGCAAUGGAAGAAAGUCUGACGGAGCAAAGCCGGGGGAGUGAUGACGGCCUUCGGGUUGUAAAGCUCUGUUAAUCGGGACGCGGUACCGGAAUAGAAAGCCACGGCUAACUACGUGCCAGCAGCCGCGGUAAUAC
rnacentral:rRNA from 1 species